UCCUAAUACAACAACCACAGCUCCUACUACAACAACCACAGCUCCUAAUACAACAACCACAGCUCAUAAUAAAACAACCACAGCUCCUAAUACAACUACCACAGCUCCUAAUGCAACAACCACAGCUCCUAAUAAAACAACCACAGCUCCUACUACAACAACCACAGCUCCUAAUACAACUACCACAGCUCCUACUACAACAAUCACAGCUCUUAAUGUGAUAACCGCAGCUCAUACUACAACAACCACAACCGCUGUUCUUACAACAACAACCAUGAAUAGUGGGCCUAGAUAUAAGUUUGUACUGAGGGUGAAAUUGGCCAUGACGACAGAGCUAACCGAAUCUGACAUCUUGAAGCAGCUCCGUGAGGAACUGAUCAGACGAGGGCUGUCAGAGGACUUUACACUGCGAUUGAGAAUCAUCUCCACGACGCCAAUACAGCGGAGUCACUGACCACCUUCCGGAGACACUUGAAACCCUACCUCUUUA